rnacentral:siRNA from 1 species
AUCCAAAUGAUGCAUCUGAAUGGA